GCGGUAAUUCCAGCUCCACCAGCGUAUACCCAAGUUGUUUCAGUUAAAACGCUCGUAGUCGGAGGUUGGCGGGCGAGCUGGGGCGUCUUCGCGGACGGACCUGGAUCGGCCGCCUUUGUGGAGGGGGGCACGUGGCCGCUUGAGUGCGGGCAUGUUGUCGCUGCCACCGUUUACUGUGAAAAAAUUAGAGUGUUCAAAGCGGGCGUUUGCCAUGAAUACCUUAGCAUGGAAUAAUAGAAUAGGACCUGUGUCCUGUUUUAUUGGUUUGUGAGGGCCGGGUAAUGAUUAAGAGGGACGGUUGGGGGCAUUUGUAUUCCGGCGUCAGAGGUGAAAUUCUCGGAUU
rnacentral:rRNA from 1 species